GUGCUUGCUUUGUCAGCAUGUAUACUAAGACUGGAAUGAUUCAGAGAAGUUUAGCAUGCCCCUGCACAAGGAGGGGGCAUGCUAAAUGCAAAUUCAUGAAGUGUUC